rnacentral:rRNA from 1 species
CGGGACGGGUGAGUAACGCGUGGGUAACCUGCCCUGUACAGGGGGAUAACAGCUGGAAACGGCUGCUAAUACCGCAUAAGCGCACGAGGAGACAUCUCCUUGUGUGAAAAACUCCGGUGGUACAGGAUGGGCCCGCGUCUGAUUAGCUGGUUGGCAGGGUAACGGCCUACCAAGGCAACGAUCAGUAGCCGGUCUGAGAGGAUGAACGGCCACAUUGGAACUGAGACACGGUCCAA